CGGUGGAGGAUGGGCCCGCGGCCUAUCAGCUUGUUGGUGGGGUGAUGGCCUACCAAGGCGGUGACGGGUAGCCGGCCUGAGAGGGCGACCGGCCACACUGGGACUGAGACACGGCCCAGACUCCUGCGGGAGGCAGCAGUGGGGAAUAUUGCACAAUGGGCGAAAGCCUGAUGCAGCGACGCCGCGUGAGGGAUGACGGCCUUCGGGUUGUAAACCUCUUUCAGCAGGGACCAAGCGCAAGUGAGUGUACCUGCAGAAGAAGCACCGGCUAACUACGUGCCAGCAGCCGCGGUAAUACGUAGGGUGCGAGCGUUGUCCGGAUUUAUUGGGCGUAAAGGGCUCGUAGGCGGCCUGUCGCGUCGGAAGUGAAAGCCCACUGCUUAACGGUGGGUCUGCUUCCGGUACGGGCAGGCUGGAGUAUGGCAGGGGAGACUGGAAUUCCUGGUGUAGCGGUGGAAUGCGCAGAUAUCAGGAGGAACACCGGUGGCGAAGGCGGGUCU
rnacentral:rRNA from 1 species